UCCGUAGGGUGCGAGCGUUAAUCGGAAUUACUGGGCGUAAAGCGUGCGCAGGCGGUUCGUUAUGUCCGAUGUGAAAGCCCCGAGCUUAACUUGGGAAUGGCAUUGGAAACUGGCGGGCUGGAGUGCGGCAGAGGGGGGUGGAAUUCCACGUGUAGCAGUGAAAUGCGUAGAGAUGUGGAGGAACACCGAUGGCGAAGGCAGCCCGCUGGGCCGACACUGACGCUCAGGCACGAAAGCGUGGGGAGCAAACAGG
rnacentral:rRNA from 1 species